ensembl:lncRNA
CUGAGCCUAUAUUGAACCCAUUCAUCAACGUAUACAAGCCCACCAGACAGACAGCCCUGCCCUGUUGUCUAAACCAAGACUGAUGAAGAACCUCCACUCACUGAAAUAACAUUUACUUUAAAGAUGUUUUGUUUUCCCCAUUCACCUAUGAUGUCCUUUACCAUGGUUUCUGUGUGUAAACUCAGAGACAGCCAGGUUGUUACUCUUCCUGAAAGUCAACUAAAUAGAUUUAACAUGGUCAGUUUGCCACUUUAGUUUGGGCUGGUUCCGACCACUAGGUCUCACAAGCCUAGUGAAUUCAAUAGAACAACCUUCAACUGUCAUUUUGUUCCACUUCAUACCUAAUCUAUCCCUAAAUCUACCAGUGCCCUUAGGCAGAAUCCCAGCCUUUGCUGCUUCCAGGUAUAAUAUUCACCCAAAUAUGAUUGUUUUAGCAGGCUUUAUUUUCAGACCCAACAGGCAGACAACAGGCAUGGAUUCAUUCCUACUAGUGUGACAAGAAGCCUGCUUAAUUUUCUGAAAGACAGACCCAUAGCUCUGUUUAAGUUGAAAUGUUAGUACUGAGGGGAGAGCUGGAUUUGACUAAAUAUGGAACAAUAUAUUUGCUUUUAUUAUGUAUUUUGAUGAGAUUUUUCUGGUAGUUUGUUAUAGGUCUCCCUAUGUCACAUACAUCUACAGUGCUGAAAUGACUGAUUAGAUCAGUCAUAGACUCGCCUCACUGGCACAAUGAAAUGACCAAUAUGCAACAUACAGAGACUAAUAAAGCACACACUACUACACGUUAAUUAGAAUUUUCAUUUUCGGUAAAGUAGUUGCUGAAAUUGACAAAUAGAUUCUUGGCAUUGUAUUUUUUGUUUCAAGCUUGAUAAUAUCCUAAAGUCAUCAAGUCUGUUCUUGUUUUUGUUUGGUUGUUUUUUGGACAGUUGCAAUAUUUGCAAGUUGUGGUCUGUGUAGUGGAAUAAUAUGUUGUGUAGUGGGGAGGACAAGCAUCUUAAAAAGUCAUGUGUAAUUUAUUGGAUUACUUUCUAUGAAGUUAUAUAGAGGAAAUUGAAGUUUAAUUAUUUUUAUUAAACAUAUUCUGACUAUCCCUGAA